rnacentral:rRNA from 1 species
GACAGAGGGUGCAAACGUUGUUCGGAAUUACUGGGCGUAAAGCGUGUGUAGGCGGCUUUGCAAGUCGGAUGUGAAAGCCCCGGGCUCAACCCGGGAAGUGCACUCGAUACUGCAGAGCUUGAGUGUCGGAGAGGUUGGUGGAAUUCUCGGUGUAGCGGUGAAAUGCGUAGAGAUCUGGAGGAACACCCGUGGCGAAGGCGGCUCCCUGGUCCGGUUCUGACGCUGAGACGCGAAAGCGCGGGGAGCGAACGGG